UAGAGUGUAUGAUGACGAGGCUUUAU
rnacentral:piRNA from 1 species